rnacentral:rRNA from 1 species
AGAACGAACGCUGGCGGCAUGCCUAAUACAUGCAAGUCGAACGAACACUUCAGUGUUAGUGGCGCACGGGUGCGUAACGCGUGGGAAUCUGCCCUUGGGUUCGGAAUAACAGUUGGAAACGACUGCUAAUACCGGAUGAUGACGAAAGUCCAAAGAUUUAUCGCCCAGGGAUAGACGCCGACGUAGGUAUUACG